rnacentral:ncRNA from 1 species
CUCUUAUCCAGAGAGGUGGAGGGACCGGCCCGAUGAUACCUCGGCAACCUGGCAAAACUGAUAUGUGGAUCAGCGAUGCUCAGGUGCCAAUUCCGGCAGAGAAAUUCUGGGAGAUGAGAG